AUGGAUGUUUGCUCGAUGUCAAAAGAAGCAAUUGUAUGGUUGGACGCGUGUCAGCUGCGCUACUCCAAUAAGAAUUUCUCUGGCAGAUUAGAUAUGUCCAACUACAUUCUUCAAGUCAACAAACAGAAUAUUACAGAGUUUACAGACCCACAAAAGUUUAAGUCUGUUGUGAAUCAGAAGCUUAGCAAGCCCCCCAUGCAAGUGGCUGAUAAUGAUUCUUUCCCUAAUAAGAUGUAUGCGACUGGAGAAGAACGCCUUGGAGAUAAGGUGAUAUAUGCACUUGUCCAGUGCACUACCGAUUUAUCUGGAAGUGAUUGUGAUCAGUGCCUUCGGAACGCCACAAAAGAGGUUUUAAGAGAAUAUUUCUUCGCCAUGGGUGCAAGACUUUUCAGUCGUAAUUGUUAUCUGAGGUAUGAGUUAUACCCAUUCUACGAUGAUGCAACACAAGCUUCUAAGGGUGGACAGAAAUUUUGGUUGAUUACAACCCUUGUGAGCAUAUCAGCAUGCCUGGCUUUAGUACUUUUUGGUCUCUGUAUCUUUCUUGCAAUGAAAAGGAGAAACAGAAAAGGAAGGAACAACAUAAGAGCUCAGGAGUACCCCAAUAUCAGCUUUGCAUCUAUACUAGAAGCUACUUCCAAUUUCUCCGAGUCAAAUAAACUUGGGGAAGGCGGUUUUGGUCCUGUUUACAAGGGUAUCAUGAGUGAUGGAAAGGAAGUGGCGAUAAAGAGGCUUUCAUGCUGUUCCGAUCAAGGUCCAGAGGAAUUCACAACUGAGGUUCAACUGAUAAUGAAUCUUCAACAUAAAAAUCUUGUCCGGCUUUUGGGUUAUUGUGUAGAAGGAGAGGAAAAGCUUCUUGUCUAUGAGUACAUGCCAAAUAGCAGCCUAGAUGUCAUUCUUUUUGAUUCAAUGAAACGUGCACAACUUGAUUGGACCGGACGUAAAAACAUUAUUACUGGAAUUGCAAGGGGAAUUCUCUAUUUACAUGAGGACUCUCGCCUUAGAAUCAUCCACAGAGACCUGAAAGCUAGCAAUGUAUUGUUGGACAAUGAGAUGAACCCAAGGAUCUCAGAUUUUGGAAUGGCUAGGAUCUUUGCAGGAAGUGAAGGACAAGCUAACACUGCUAUUAUAGUUGGGACUUAUGGAUACAUGGCUCCAGAAUAUGCAAUGGAGGGACUAUAUUCUUUCAAGUCUGAUGUCUUUAGCUUUGGAGUACUCCUGCUUGAGAUAAUAACUGGGAGAAUGAACGCUGGCUUUCAUCGAACGACGCAUGCUAGCCUCCCAUCAUAUGCAUGGAAAUUAUGGAAUGAAGGAAAUGGACUGGAGCUAAUUGAUCCAUUGCUGGUUGGUUCGUGUGAUUCAGAUGAGUUUUUGAGAUAUCUUCAUAUUGGAUUGUUGUGUGUUCAAGAAGAUGCAUAUGACAGGCCAACCAUGUCUUCUGUUGUUGUAAAUUUGAAGAGUGAAACUGUAAAUCUUAGCCAACCUGGAAAACCUGCAUUCUCCAUUGGAACAUUCGUUGAUGUACAUAAUAAGGCUGGUGCUGUUAGUAGCUCUUAUAAUGGACUAACAGUUUCCAGCAUAGAACCACGAGAUCCACCUUCAGUUAUGGUUUUCAUAAUUAUACUACUUUUAAUGCCUACUACCAUUACUGGUGCAGAUCUUCUUUACAAAUAUUGUCCAGACACAACCCACGCUCGGUACAAUGCCGAUAGUCCAUUUGAAAAUAAUCUCAAGCUACUCCUUGAGUCAUUGUCUUCCAACACUUCAAUCUCUGAUGGUUUCUACAAUGACACGAUCGGCAAUAGCCCUGACCAAGUCUAUGGACAAGCACUUUGUAGAGGGGACGUGAACUCCACAGUUUGUCAGAGCUGUGUCCAUGAUGCAAGCCAGGAAAUCUUCAAGGGAUGUAAACAUCAAGAAGCAAUUAUCUGGUAUGAACUAUGUCAAGUUCACUAUUCCAAUAUCAUCUUUUUUUCAACGAUGGAAUAUUACGGAAAGUAUCCUGAGAAGAAUAAGCUGAAGAAGAAUGUAUCACAACCGAAUCAGUUUGUCAAUGUUUUGACAAAUUUAAUGACAAACCUCUUGGACCAGACUGCCUUUACUUCCAAGCGUAUGUUUGCAACCGGUGAUAUGAAAGUUUCAGGAAACCAAUCUAUUUAUGGCCUACAACAGUGCACCAGAGACAUUAUUAGAAGUGAGUGCCUUAACUGUUUAAAAUCUGCUCUUCCUGAGCUUCAGGGAUGCUGCUCUACUCACGAAGGUGGAACCAUUGUCAGCAGGAAUUGUAAUGUGAGGUUUGAGCUCUACCGAUUCUUCAACGAAGGUUAGGGACUUCUAAAUGUUCUGCUGUACAUGGAUCAAUACUGUUUAAUUUUAAUACAAUUAUGUAGAAUUAGUGGAUUACCAACUAAAAAUUAUUCUAACCGUGCUGCAGAUGAAGAAAGAAGCCAGCAUGGACUAUUACCUGAAUUAUUAAACCCCACUUCUGUGACAAUCAUAGAAGAAAACAAAAUGGUAAGUUCUGAAGAGCUGCCAUUCAUUGAUCUAGCUACUAUAAAGGAUGCUACAGAUGACUUUUCAGAUUCAAACAAGCUUGGACAAGGUGGAUUUGGUGCUGUUUACAAGGGUUGGCUAGAUGGGAAAGAAGUUGCGAUUAAAAGACUAUCAAGAAAGUCAUGGCAGGGCAUAGAGGAGUUUAGAAAUGAAGUCACUCUUAUUGCAAAGCUUCAGCACAGAAACCUGGUGCGGCUUUUAGCUUGUGGCUUUGGGGGAGAAGAAAAGCUGCUAUUGUACGAGUUCAUGCCAAAUAAAAGCCUUGAUACUUUUAUUUUUGAUUUGAAACGACGAGUUGAACUCAAUUGGCAAACAUAUCACAACAUCAUUGAAGGAAUCGCCAGAGGACUUCUGUAUCUUCAUGAGGAUUCCCGGCUUAAGAUCAUUCAUAGGGACUUGAAGCCCAGCAAUGUGUUGUUGGACCAUGAAAUGGUUCCAAAAAUAUCAGACUUUGGAAUGGCAAGGAUAUUUUGUGACAACCAGAACACUGCCAACACUACAAGAGUUGUAGGAACACAUGGCUACAUGGCACCGGAGUACGCAAUGGAGGGACUAUUCUCUGUAAAAUCUGAUGUUUUCAGCUUUGGAGUAGUCUUGCUUGAGAUUUUAAGUGGGAAAAAAAAUAGUGGUUUCUACCUCACAGAACAUGCCAAGACAUUGGUAGAAUACGCAUGGACACUAUGGAAGGAUGGAAAAGGGUCGGAGUUUGUGGAACCUCUGUUGAUGGAACGAUGCCCAAAAGAAGAGGUUUUGAAAUACUUGCAGAUUGCGCUUUUAUGUGUGCAAGAAGACCCUGAAGAAAGACCAACAAUGUCAGCUGUGGUUGUGUUGCUAGGAAAUGAUGACUCGAUUGGUCUUCCUGAACCAAAGAAACCGGCCAUCUUUGCAAUAGGUAGAGUUGCUCCAAUGACAAUGUCUACACAGAAUCCUAGCUCAAAUGGGCUUACCCUUUCCGGCAUUUCACCUAGAAACAAAAAAGCAAAAGCUACCAUGGCAGAACUGAUCCUUCUCUUCCUUUCAGUGCUCACCCUCCUAACCUUUCCGACUACAGAAGCAGCCGAGUACCUCGCCCAUUUCUGCCCCAACACCACCGUCUUCAGCCCAAACUCCACCUUCCAAUCCAACCUCAACCACCUCCUCUCCACUCUCUCCUCCAACUCCACACGCACCACCGGCUUCUACAACGCCACCGCCGGCCGUCCCCCAACCGAAACCGUCUACGGCCUCUUCCUCUGCCGCGGUGACGUCACCACCUCAGCAUGCAGAGCCUGCGUGGUCACAGCAACCUCGGAGAUUGUGCAGCCGGAGCGCUGCCCGGUUGAGAAAGAAGUCGUGAUAUGGUACGACGAGUGCAUGCUACGGUACUCCAACACGUCCUUCUUCUCCGUCGCCGACGAGUCUCCUGGCUUGUUAAUGUGGAACAACAACAACGUCAGCAGCGAGCCGAACCGGUUCAACCAGGUUUUGGGGGCGAGCAUGACGGAGGUGGCGGAGGAGGCCGCGAACGACGGCGAUAAGUUCGCGACAAGAGAGGCGAACUUCACGGGGUUGAUCAGCGUGUACAGCUUGGGGCAGUGCACGCAGGACUUGUCUAGUUUUGAUUGCAACCGGUUCUAAAGGGAGCCAUAGCGCAGUUGCCGGGUUGCUGCGGCGGAAAGUUAGGGGGGCGAGUUUUGUAUCCGAGUUGUAAUGUUAGGUUUGAAGUUUAUCCAUUUUAUCAGAUUAAGGCGUCAGCACCGGCGCCGGCGCCGGAGGUUCGGCAACUGCGCUAUGCUGUUCUUUAUGUAGGGAAAAGCAAAAUCUCCUGGAAAACGAUUGUGGCAAUUGUCGUGCCAAUUGCGGUUUCUUUGGUGCUUUUUGUGAUUGGCUACUGCCUCAUUUGUAAGAGGGCAAGAAAGAAGUACAAUGUUGUAUCAGAACUAAAUGGUGAAAAUGACAUUAGUAGUGCAGAUUCUUUGCAAUUUGAUUUUGGUACCAUUGGAGCCGCUACAAACAAUUUCUCUGAUGAGAAUAAGUUAGGUGAAGGUGGAUUUGGUCAAGUCUACAAGGGUUUGCUUUCAAAUGGGCAAGAAAUAGCUGUCAAGAGGCUAUCAAGGAACUCUGGCCAGGGUACUGAAGAAUUUAAGAAUGAGAUGGUACUGGUAGCCAAGCUGCAACACAGAAAUCUAGUUAGGCUAUUGGGAUUUUGCUUGGAAGGGGAAGAAAAGAUGCUUGUUUAUGAAUACGUCCCCAACAAAAGCCUCGACUAUAUUCUAUUUGACCCUGAGAAACAAGGACAACUGGAUUGGCCGAGACGUUACAAAAUUAUUGCAGGAAUUGCCCGAGGAAUUAUGUAUCUACAUGAAGACUCCCGGCUGAGAAUUAUACAUAGUGAUCUCAAAGCCAGCAAUAUAUUGUUAGAUAGGGACAUGCAUCCAAAAAUAUCUGAUUUUGGCAUGGCCAGGAUUUUUGGCGUUGACCAAACACAAGCAAACACAAAUAGAAUUGUUGGAACUUAUGGUUACAUGGCUCCAGAAUAUGCAAUGCAUGGACAAUUUUCUGUCAAGUCCGAUCUCUAUAGUUUUGGUGUCUUGGUUCUUGAAAUCAUCAGUGGCAAGAAGAAUAAUUACUACUUCCAAACGGAUGCAGCUGAGGACCUCGUCAGCCAUGCUUGGAAACUAUGGAGAGAUGGAACACCUUUAGAAUUGUUGGAUCCGUGUCUGAUAGAUUCUUGUACUAGAAAUGAAGUUAUCAGAUGUAUCCACAUUGGCUUACUUUGUGUUCAGGAAGAUCCAGCUGACAGACCUACAAUGCAAUCACUAGUUCUCAUGCUCAACAGCUACUCUGUUACUCUUCCAUUACCUCAAGAGCCAGCAUUUUUCCAUAAGACUAGAUCGGAGUUUAUGCCAAAGAUGCUGCUGGAUCAGUCUAUCAGCAAGUCAAGUCCAUCAGUUUUUGAUGGAUCUAUCACUGAAGUAUAUCCUCGAUAAGAGUAAGUAAUUUAGGCACCCUUUAUGAUGUUGUAAUAUCUGUUUUUGUUUUCUACAAGGAUGAAACUGGAAUUAGUUGCGGCAUACUUUUAUUAUUAGGAUGUGCAUGUUCUUUAAAUUCUGGAAAUCAAUAACCAAAGAUGUAAAAUUCCUCGCUGGUAAUAGCCUACCCCUUGUGUAGUUCUGUUCACAUUGAUGAAUGACUAGCUGAAGCUAUGAAUUUAAUU